rnacentral:rRNA from 1 species
GAUGAACGCUAGCGACAGGCUUAACACAUGCAAGUCGAGGGGCAGCAUGAGGUAGCAAUACCUUGAUGGCGACCGGCGCACGGGUGAGUAACGCGUAUGCAACCUGCCCGAUACCGGGGUAUAGCCCAUGGAAACGUGGAUUAACACCCCAUAGUACUUUUAUCCUGCAUGGGAUGUGAGUUAAAUGUUCAAGGUAUCGGAUGGGCAUGCGUCCUAUUAGUUAGUUGGCGGGGUAACAGCCCACCAAGACGAUGAUAGGUAGGGGUUCUGAGAGGAAGGACCCCCACAUUGGAACUGAGACACGGUCCAAACUCCUACGGGAGGGAGCAAUGAGGAAAAUUGGUCAAUGAACGUAAGUCUGAACCAGCCAAGUCGCGUGAGGGAAGACUGCCCUAUGGGUUGUAAACCUCUUUUAUAAGGGAAGAAUAAGUUCUACGUGUAGAAUGAUGCCUGUACCUUAUGAAUAAGCAUCGGCUAACUCCGUGCCAGCCGCCGCCGUAA